rnacentral:rRNA from 1 species
GACAGAGGAUGCAAGCGUUAUCCGGAAUUACUGGGCGUAAAGCGUGCGCAGGCGGUGAUGUAAGACCGAUGUGAAAUCCCCGGGCUUAACCUGGGAACUGCAUUGGUGACUGCAUUGCUGGAGUAUGGCAGAGGGGGGUGGAAUUCCACGUGUAGCAGUGAAAUGCGUAGAGAUGUGGAGGAACACCGAUGGCGAAGGCAGCCCCCUGGGCCAAUACUGACGCUGAGGAGCGAAAGCAUGGGGAGCGAACAGG